rnacentral:rRNA from 1 species
CAGUCGCCACGGUAAUACGAAGGGGGCUAGCGUUGUUCGGAUUUACUGGGCGUAAUGGGCGCGUAGGCGGACUGAUAAGUCAGGGGUGAAAUCCCAAGGCUCAACCUUGGAACUGCCUUUGAUACUGUUUGUCUUGAGUUCGAGAGAGGUAAGUGGAACUGCGAGUGUGGAGGUGAAAUUCGUAGAUAUUCGCAAGAACACCAGUGGCGAAGGCGGCUUACUGGCUCGAAACUGACGCUGAGGCGCGAAAGCGUGGGGAGCAAACAGGAUUAGAUACCCGCGUAGUCCCUGUCUCUUAUAC